CACAGCUGAGGAUGGGGCCCACUGAGCCGACUGGAAGGAUCCACCUAGAAUUUGUUGAAUUAAGUCCUUGCACCUGGAUAUAAUUGUCAUGCUGCUGUGCUGGGGUUUUCUUAAGCUACUGAUUUGAUUCAUAGAAAAAUGUGAGUGAUGCGUGCCACUGAUUUGGGUCAUCUGCACGCAAUUCAAAAGGAAAAGGCUGUAAAACCAGAGAUAAAUUCCAGGAGAAGCCGGAUGAUUGGAAAGCCAUGAAGGCAUACUCUCAUCUCAUGACAUCUGCAUAGACCAGCGCAGAAGGUUUCUUCUGGACCUAGGGAACAGUUCUUAGUGAAGAAAUGUGCAGCCUAGUACAUACUGCAUGCUUUCUUUUUGUUGUAUUAAACUCAUUG